GGCGGGCUGGACCUCUCGGGGUUCAGCCUUGCUGAAUUAUUCACCCUUGUCUUUUGCGUACUUCUUGUUUCCUUGGUGGGUUCGCCCACCACUAGGACAAACAUAAACCUUUUGUAAUUGCAAUCAGCGUCAGUAACAAAUUAAUAAUUACAACUUUCAACAACGGAUCUCUUGGUUCUGGCAUCGAUGAAGAACGCAGCGAAAUGCGAUAAGUAGUGUGAAUUGCAGAAUUCAGUGAAUCAUCGAAUCUUUGAACGCACAUUGCGCCCUUUGGUAUUCCAAAGGGCAUGCCUGUUCGAGCGUCAUUUGUACCCUCAAGCUUUGCUUGGUGUUGGGCGUCUUGUCUCUAGCUUUGCUGGAGACUCGCCUUAAAGUAAUUGGCAGCCGGCCUACUGGUUUCGGAGCGCAGCACAAGUCGCACUCUCUAUCAGCAAAGGUCUAGCAUCCAUUAAGCCUUUUUUUCAACUUUUGACCUCGGAUCAGGUAGGGAUACCCGCUGAACU
rnacentral:rRNA from 1 species